CAAACAAACCCUCUGCAUAUAAAAGAAUUGCAAAGAUAUUUUUUUUUCAAGCAAUACUGCCUGGCUCUCAUGAAGGAUUUUUUAUUUGUCUUAGCUGAUGGCUGCUUUGACCCAAAAUAACUCAGAUAGUGGGAACAAUCUCUGUGAUUGUCGACUAGUAGAAUUGUAAUUGUUGUUAGGACUCAAAACCUAGUUCUAAUUAUUUGUUCUGAAAUUGGACAUGUAUGUAUAUAUAACUGUAGGGUUUUAUAACCUAGGAUUUGGAGGAGGCAAGUGGAAAAAAGCAGUUAAUUGGGGUAAGUUUAAUAAGAUGAGAAGGAUAUCAGAGGUUUCUGUUUCUUUGUCCAUUUUUAAUUAUAUCCCAACUUAUAACAAGACAAAAUACCUUAGUUUACAUGUGCUGGAUGAAGACUUUUCAGAAUUUGACAGCUGUGUUCUGCAGAUUUUUGUCUUUAAUGCAUGUGAAGUCACACAUCUGCACGAAGGUAGAGGCAGGGCAAGGGGCUUCUGAUAAGAGGUUGAGACAGGCACGAGAAACGAAAAGCAUUAAAUAACAGGGUGGGAGCUAAGAAAAGAAUCUUUCCCUGCUAAGAAGUAGCUUCUUUCAGAGUAUGAAAGUACUAAGUUUAAUACCCUUCUGCUUUAAAUAAACAUGUAUAAUCUAGAA